GUUCCCUUAUUACCUCUACAACAACAUUUUCUUCCUCUUAAAUCAUCUCCAACGGUCAUAUUAUUAUUACCCACGACGAACACGUUUUCUUCUCUUGAAUCAUCCCCAACGGUCAUAUUAUUACCCACAACGUAAACAUUUUCUUCUCUUUUAUCAUCCCCAACGGUCAUAUUAUUACCCACAACGUAAACAUUUUUUCUUCUCUUGAAUCAUCCCCAACGGUCAUAUUAUUACCCACAACGUAAACAUUUUCUUCUCUUUUAUCAUCCCCAACGGUCAUAUUAUUACCCACAACGUAAACAUUUUCUUCUCUUUUAUCAUCCCCAACGGUCAUAUUAUUACCUCUAUAAAAACACUUUCUUCCUCUUAAAUCAUCCCCAACGGUCAUAUUAUUACCACAAUAAAAACAUUUUCUUCUUCCUCUUAAAUCAUCCCCAACGGUUAUAUUAUUACCACAACAGAAACAUUUUCUUCUUCCUCUUGAAUCAUCCCCAACGGUUAUAUUAUUACCACAACAGAAACAUUUUCUUCUUCCUCUUGAAUCAUUCCCAACGGUCAUAUUUUCUCUUCCUCUUCCCUCUCUGUGCCUCACCAUUUGAAACUCUCUUCUUUGCCUCUCGUUCUCACUCUUUCACUGCAACAAAUCAGAAUAUGUGGACAAGCUAGUUGUUCAAUGCACAUUAGUAGAUAUACAAUAUUGGGGAUUCGCUUGAACAACAUAAAAAAUUUUAGAAUUCGGACAAAUAACUGCUUGGUUAGUGAGGCGAAUUCAUCAAUCUGAAUUGAUUAAUGAACUGGAGUGUCCGAAGCGGGUUUUUUUUGCUGCUUCUGGAAAGGUCCUAUCAAGUAGAAAAAGUCUCGGCAACAAGCAUAAAUUCCAAGAGCUCAAGGCGUCACAUGUGUUGACUUUCAUAAUUGAGGUCUGGUGGAAGAGAAGCAUAAAUCUCAAACUCUGACUUGGCAGCAGCGGUUCAAUAUAAUCGUCGAAACAGUAUAAGGACUUGCAUAUCUUCACGGAGGUUCUCAAAAGCGAAAAAUACUUAGACAAAAAGUAGUGAUGUUCUUCUUCUUGAUAAGAAUUUCAAUCCAAAUUUUUCAGAUUUUGGACUUGUUAGAUGUUUUGGUGCCGAUAGUCAUCUUAGCAUUGGAAUUGCAGGAACAAUGUAACUCAUAAAAUUCAUUUUACAACUUGCAACCAUAUUUUAGUUCUUUCUUAUACAAAAUACUAUCAGUCCUCUAUUUUCCCAUUACAAUCUCAAGACAACAAAUACUCCAAAACUAAAACAGUAAGUCCUCAUAACUUUUUUUUUAUAACCAUUGUCAUGUCCAUCAAAAAAGCACACAGACUUGAACGCUGUUAUAUAUGCACAUAAACAAAAAUGUUCUAAAAUCUCUGUUUUGGAAACGGAAACAUGUUUUGGGCAUAUAACGGAUUGUUUUCACUAUUUGAAUUCAGGUGUGGCAACUUUAUAGGUCAAACAGAUCGGUGGAAGCAGCUGAUCCAAACCUCAGUGACGAUUUUUUGUGCUAGUAUGCAAAGUGAUGGUAUUCUCAAGUAAUUUUUUGAUUUUUCUCCAAUAUUUAAAGAUUAUCGCUAGGCAAUAUUAUAUAUCUGCAGUAGUUUUUUAAAGUAUUCGUUGCUUUAAGGUCGAGAGCACUCAUUUUUGUCAAGAUUUAUUUUUUCUGCAAUAUUUAUUGAUUUGUGUUUGAAGUCGUUGGUGGAGUAAUACAAAUGUGUUAUUUUCCGAUACAACAUUUGACAGGUUGGUGUUGAUUUAUGUGUUUGUCUUGUUAUUCGUUUUUCUCAUGUGUCAUUGAUGAAUGCAGCACACUAUAAAACAUUGAUGACCAAUUUUUGUUCCAUGCAAAUUUUGGCAUAGAAACCCCCCUAAUUGAAUGCUAAAAAUACCAAGUUAUUUUUAUGUUCCAUUAGGUAUGUGGAUUGUAGCGUAGGGGUGCACUUGGUUUCAUUAUUGCUUUAAUGGCUCGCUCUGAGUUUCAAGGAUGAAUCAUUUCCAUUAUACCAGGAACAUGAUUCUUUUUCUUGGGUUGAUAUGUAUAUAUCUGAAGUGGUUGUAAAUAUAUAUGAUGGUGAGGUAGUAACUCAGGGGCAGGGGAGCCUUAAAGAAUGAAUGAAUUAUAAAUUCUUUUUCCCGGGUAUCAUUUUUACUGGAGAAACUUAUAAGAGAAAAAUCAGACGUCUGUUUUAAAGGGAAAAAAUGCAUGUGAAAGUUUGCAUAGCUUAUGCAGAGACUUUUUAAGUUUUUCAUAGGCAUCAGAACAAUCAGAAUUGCAAUUCCUUAAGUUUGAUCUCACGGUAUUCAUGUUGUUGAUGAGGCAGGAAGUCUUGGCAUAUAUACUUAGGAUAUUUGUACGAAGCAGGCAUCUAGAAUUGAGCAGCUAAAUCAGGUAAUGAUUUUUUAACAUUUUAUUUUAUAAUUUUACACCAUAGCUGCAAAAUUUUAAUGAUUUUUCUAAAACAUAACUUUAGUUCUAAGUUCUAAGUUCAAACAAAAUCACAAGUGCAACUUAGCCGCUAUAGUUUCAAAACACUUGGAUUCAAAAGUCGAAAAUUCAGACAUAACUAUAUUAGAGGAUCUACCUACAACUUUCAUGAUCUGGUCCAUUUUACCUAUUUAUUUCCACCUUUA